rnacentral:rRNA from 1 species
UCCUGCCGGACCUGACUGCUAUCGGAUUGAUACUAAGCCAUGCGAGUCUUUGUAGUAAUACAAGGCAGACGGCUCAGUAACACGUAGUCAACCUACCCUAUGGACAAGAAUAAUCUCGGGAAACUGGGCAUAAUUCUUGAUAGAUCAUAAUGCCUGGAAUGGUUUAUGGUUAAAAUGAUUCGUCGCCAUAGGAUGGGACUGCGGCCUAUCAGCUUGUUGGUGAGGUAAUGGCCCACCAAGGCGAUUACAGGUACGGGCUCUGAGAGGAGAAGCCCGGAGAUGGGUACUGAGACACGGACCCAGGCCCUAUGGGGCGCAGCAGGCGAGAAAACUUUGCAAUGUGCGAAAGCACGACAAGGUUAAUCCGAGUGAUUUCUGCUAAAGAAAUCUUUUGCCAGUCAUAAAACCACUGGUGAAUAAGGGGUGGGCAAGUUCUGGUGUCAGCCGCCGCGGUAAAACCAGCACCUCAAGUGGUCAGGAUGAUUAUUGGGCCUAAAGCAUCCGUAGCCGGCUUUGUUAGUUUUCGGUUAAAUCCAUGUGCUCAACGCAUGGGCUGCCGAAAAUACUGCAUAGCUAGGGAGUGGGAGAGGUAGACGGUACUCAGUAGGAAGGGGUAAAAUCCUUUGAUCUAUUGAUGACCACCUGUGGCGAAGGCGGUCUACCAGAACACGUUCGACGGUGAGGGAUGAAAGCUGGGGGAGCAAACCGGAUUAGAUACCCGGGUAGUCCCAGCUGUAAACGAUGCAGACUCGAUGAUGCACUGGCAUAAUAGCCAGUGCAGUGUCGCAGGGAAGCCGUUAAGUCUGCCGCCUGGGAAGUACGUACGCAAGUAUGAAACUUAAAGGAAUUGGCGGGGGAGCACCACAAGGGGUGAAGCCUGCGGUCAAU